GAUCACCGUGCUAUAAGCUAGAGAUCUUCAGAAGAUUAGAACGAGACAGGGAGAGCUGAAGCUGAGCACGUAGUUUGUGAAACUAGAAGAACGUGAAAGGACAUAAUGGAGGGCGUCAACCACAAGAACCUGCAGCCUCCGCUAGGCUACCCGACGGUGGAUAAUUCGGAGCAGCAAGGAGCGGCGGCAGCGCCGCGCGGAGGACGAGCAAGAGCUCGGGGACGGAAGACUAGUUUCAUCGAUGGAUGCAUUGCCGCGCUGUGCUGCUGCUGGCUCUGCGACCUCUGCUGCGACUAGAGCAGAGCAAACCUCAAGCACGCACACAGCAGGAUUACAGACCGAGGGCGUGUGUGCGGUGUGCCUAUGUAUAUGUUGAGCAGUUAAGGAGCAGAGAGCGUUUAGCAUGGCAUCAAGGGUGCUGUAAAAGUUCUACACAUUUUAUGUUUGAUUGUGCAGCUCCUAGUUUUGUUUCUUCUUAUGAUUGUUUUAAGCGUGGUUUGUGUGGAUUUUAGCUGUAUCAUUUUAUUUCUUUGUUGGAAGAAAGUGAACAGGUUCUAUUUAUUUAUGCGUCUGCAUAGUCGACAUCGGAAGUAGCUCCUCUGCGGUGCUGCAGAGGAGGCUCAUCCGUCCACAUCAAGCCAUCCUGGUGUCUCCAACAUUCU